rnacentral:rRNA from 1 species
GUACCGUCAGGCCUAACGUGUAUUAUACGUUAGGAGGUUCUUCCCCUCUGACAGAGCUUUACGACCCAAGAGCCUUCAUCACUCACGCGGUAUUGCUGCGACAGGCUUUCGCCCAUUGCGCAAAAAUUCCCCC